rnacentral:rRNA from 1 species
AUUGAACGCUGGCGGCAGGCUUAACACAUGCAAGUCGAGCGGAGAUGAGGUGCUUGCACCUUAUCUUAGCGGCGGACGGGUGAGUAAUGCUUAGGAAUCUGCCUAUUAGUGGGGGACAACAUUCCGAAAGGAAUGCUAAUACCGCAUACGCCCUAUGGGGGAAAGCAGGGGAUCUUCGGACCUUGCGCUAAUAGAUGAGCCUAAGUCGGAUUAGCUAGUUGGUGGGGUAAAGGCCUACCAAGGCGACGAUCUGUAGCGGGUCUGAGAGGAUGAUCGGCCACACUGGGACUGAGACACGGCCCAGACUCCUACGGGAGGCAGCAGUGGGGAAUAUUGGACAAUGGGCGGAAGCCUGGUCCAGCCAUGCCGCGUGUGUGAAGAAGGCCUUUUGGUUGUAAAGCACUUUAAGCGAGGAGGAGGCUACCUGGAUUAAUACUCUAGGAUAGUGGACGUUACUCGCAGAAUAAGCACCGGCUAACUCUGUGCCAGCAGCCGCCGUAA